GACAGAGGGUGCAAACGUUGUUCGGAAUUACUGGGCGUAAAGAGCGUGUAGGCGGCUUGUUAAGUCUUGCGUGAAAUCUCGGGGCUCAACCCCGAGCGGUCGUGAGAAACUGGCAGGCUAGAGUGCGGGAGAGGAGAGUGGAAUUCCUGGUGUAGCGGUGAAAUGCGCAGAUAUCAGGAAGAACACCGAUGGCGAAGGCGGCCUUCUGGACAGUGACUGACGCUGAGACGCGAAAGCGUGGGGAGCAAACAGG
rnacentral:rRNA from 1 species